rnacentral:rRNA from 1 species
AUGGCUGAGCUUGCCGGGGGUGCUGUCCGCUCGCUGUUGGGCGUCAUCCGCGACGAGGCUAAGCUGCUCGGCGUUGUUGGUGGUGAUCUGCAGUUCAUCAAAGAGGAGAUGGAGAGCAUGAACAGCUUCCUCCUGCACCUCGCCAGGAAGACGCCCCGCAGCGGGGAGCACGACGAGCAGGUCCGCACAUGGAUGAAGCAGGUCCGCGACCUCGCGCACGACUGCAACAACUGCAUCGACAUCUACCUACUCCGCGGUGAUCCGGCUGUGUACCACGCCAGAGGAAUCCUGCUGGGUUAUGUGUGGUGGGUGCCUUGGUUCGUGAAGAAGACGGUCGCUCAGCACCUCGCAGCGACCCAGCUGAGCGACCUCAAAGCCCGGGCGCGUGACGUUGGUGAGCGGCGGCUUAGGUAUGGCGUCGAGGUUCCAACAAAGCUGGACUGCGACAAGCUGCUGACGGAGGUGGUAUCUUCGUCGUCAUUCCAAGCUGCUGGGGGAGUUGUCGCUGAAGGAGACAAUGACUUUGAAGAAGACUACUACCAGGCGAUAACUGAUGAUCCACGAAGGGAGCUCGCCUUUUCCGAGCCUCGAAUUUUUGAGAAAUGCACUGAAAAGCUAAUGCUGUGGCUCGAGCACCAACAUAAAGAAGGUCCAUACCAAGCCAUCGCCAUUGCAGCACCAGAUGAAGAGGAUGGAAGCCACAUUAUAGAUAAAGCGUUGGGACACGAUUCUGUUACGGAAAAGUUCGACCACAUAGUCUCUUUACGGGACAUGCCUGACUAUCAGCUGCAGCUGCAAGAACCCUGGGAUCUUCUUGGCAAAAUCCUGAAGAAGGUGGGUGAGAAGGCCAACGACUCGGGGGAUGAAUUUGGUGAGGAAGAAAUCGAUGAGAAGAUUCAGAAGAUCAAGGAGAAGAUCAAAGAUCACCUAGAGAAAGCUGGUAAUAAAGGUUGCCGAGUUGAACCCUUAGGAGUACUCUGCAGCAUCUUGCGGGUGCUGCUCCAGGACACCACAGCCGCAGGUGAAAAGGCCAUCUCCCGCAGGAUUAGUGUCGAGCAUCCCCAAUUUGUAGCCAUCCUGCGGGAGCUGCUUCCCAACCAGGCCACCCCGCCAGCGAAUGAAGCCGCAAAUAAACUGGGUGAGGAUCACAUCGUGAAGAAUAUCCAAGUCAUCACGCUGAAGAUUCAAGUGGAGCUGCUACCAGUGUCACUUGAGCAGCAAGAUAAAUCAGUGGAAGAAUCAGGCAAAGACCAGUUGUUGCUGCCAUUGUCAGGUGAGGACUGCAUGGAGACGAUUGAAGAAGUUCUGGAGAGGAUCAAAGAGCAUCUGCUGAUUCAAGAAACAGCAGGAAGGGUUAAAAAACAUCUGCAGGGUAAAAGGACAUUGGUUGUUCUCCACAAUGCCUCUGGCUACAAAUGGGACGAGACUGCAAAGGCCUUGGGAGAUUUGGGCUGCAGUUCAAUGGCAGUGGUAGUUACCACAAAAUACAUGCAGAGGGCCAACGAGUUUUGCUAUUGGACAGAACCCAUCGUGUACUCUUCUAUUGAAUACUACCGCGAAACAGCGCUCCAACUUACAAAUCGGCUUGUGAAUGACGACGAGAGGUAUAGCGCCGAGAUCUUCCAUGAGAUCUUGGAGAAAUGUAGGGUGGAUGAGUUCUGCAUAAAGAUGUUCAUCCAUGCUCUGUUUGCCAAUCCAAUGAGGAGCAGAGAAGAACUGGACAAGUUGAGCAACACCCUCGUAUUCGAAGGAACGGUCGAGACUAAUGGCUACAAGAUGAUCAAGUUCUCCUACAAUGAUCUGCCCAGGGAAUACAAGACUUGCUUGCUGUAUCUAGCCAUCUUCCAUAAAGGCGAAAAGAUAAACCGGACAAGGAUAAUUGGCCGGUGGGUUGCAGAAGGACUGAUAACUAGACAAGACUGGCUCAGUUCAGUAAGGGAGGCCGAGCAUUGUUUUGAGGUACUUGCCAACUUGUGGCUUGUCUAUCCUAGUGACGUUGAUGCUGCAGGGAAGGUCAAGAGCGUUACAGUGCAUCAACAAGUGUACAACUUCAUCACCAAGAUGGCCAGGAAAGAACACAUUCUGGACACACGCCUGUCUCGGCACCUGGCUCGCCACUUCUGA